CGGGAAGGCCAUAUGGCGACAUAGAGCGGACCCGAAAACCCUAGUCUCAGUUCGGAUUGGAGUCUGCAACCCGACUCCAUGAAGCUGGAUUCGCUAGUAAUUGCGCAUCAGCCACGGCGCGGUGAAUACGUUCCCGGGCCUUGUACACACCGCCCGUCACACCAUGAGAGUCGGGAACACCCGAGGUCCGUAGCCUGACCGCAAGGGGGCGCGGCCGAAGGUGGGUUCGAUAAUUGGGGUGAAGUCGUAACAAGGUAAC
rnacentral:rRNA from 1 species